AGGAAAAACCUGAAUAAAUGAGUGGAGAAACAUAAUGAAUGCAGAUGCUUCCAUACAGGUGUACUGCAUGAUCCAAUUAAGCAAUUAACAUCCUAUCAUGCUCUGUGGCAUGUAUAAAAGCCCAGUUGACGACAAUUUUGGAUCGAGAUGGCAAGAGGAAAAGAUCUAAGUGAUUUUGAAAGAGGGUUCAUUAUUGGGGCACAGAUCAUAGAUUCUACUAGUCUCUAGAACGCUAUAUUAAAUUUAUUUGGCAAAUGCUUUAUAACUACAAAACGCAGGUCCGAUAAGCGUAUUUCCUUUCUUCUCAGUCUGAGAGAGGGCACUCGAGGUGAAUGAUCGAGGGGGCUUCAUUAAGGGAGAGAGCAAGAAGAGCAGGGGGAAGAGGAACCCCCAAGGAAGAGAGUUACAGAGGAAAGCCUGGAGGAAUCCCGGGAACACUCGGGCUCCAACAACCAACCUGCUAACUGCCCUGUAAUCACCACUCUUCCCCAGUAUGGGAAAUAAUAAUUAUACUGCACAGCUGCACUAUUCUGGACCUCUCUCUUUCAUUGUUGCUCCUUCCCUCCCUCCACAGCACGGACCUGGCGAGAAAAUAUUUUGCAAAUCAAAAAUCAGCGCUCCAAACAAACAGCACCUCUUGUGGACAGUUUGGGUAAAACACUCAAGGGCUGCUGUUAUGUGUGAAAUUUUGCUUCUAACUGCAUUCCGAGAGUCACUUGCUUGCCUUGGUUGCAUUGCUCUCUCAUGGACAACACAGGUCAUAACACCUUUACCACACAGUGUUAUAUUACUUUGGAAUCUAAAUGGCUUUACUAUGAGGCCCAUUAAUGGUGGGUAACAGGGAUGCAGAUCUUUUGUCUUUCGACAGCAGAUAUGUCCAUUUCUGUCACUUUUUAGCCCCCAAGUAGCCUUUGUUGUGAAUUGGGACUGAAUCUGUGCAGACCACCAUACUGUUUAGAAGCACCAAACAUGCAGGUCGGUCUAGUUUACUGGGCUCUGUCUGAGACCUUGGUUUUCUGGAAAAGGAGGAUUGUGUUGGAUAUUAAAAUGUGGAUAUAUAAAAAUCUUUCCAACAUACUAAUAUGCUGCAAAACAAAGUAAGAAACUUUGAAAUCAAUAAUACAUGACAAUUUUCAAAAAAAUAAUCAUUUUGUAUAAGAGCAUACAUAGAGAAAAAAUAGAAAAGGAAAAAGCAACCAUCUGUUUAUCUAUGUAGGAACAGUAGACAGAUUAAGCUAAUCAGU